rnacentral:tRNA from 1 species
GCCUGGUUGGCUCAGUCAGUAGAGCAUGCAACUCUUCAUCUUGAGGUUGUAAGUUCAAGCCCUACACUGGGUG